UAAAUUAACAGUUUAUUUGUUUUUUGAUUUUGAAGAUUUUUUUUUAUAAAUUAAUAAUCGAAAGGUACACGACCCCAGUCCAUGUACUUUUUCGUUCAUUCAUUAUUCUAUUUCGGAAUGAAAGAUGAAAUUUAAAAAAGGGUGCGGCUUGGUUUUUUGUUUAAAAGAAAAAAGCAGAAAUGGCUGUAUUUUGUUUUCCAAAUGUAUUGUUUGUCAUCAAAUAAUAGUAUUAGAAAAUCGGACGCAUUUCCGAUCUUUUUUUAAUUUGUAAUAUUUAUUUUUACAUUAAUUGUAUUUCAUUUAACUGAUCCUAUCUUUACCCGGAAGUAAAUUACACUGCGUGCGAAGUAAGUUCGUUAAGCAUUCAUACGACAAUAUCAUGGAUCUUCAGGCUCAUUACAUGUUGUUUAAAGGGCAAAAACGGGUCACCCUCCGAGAAGAGAACAUGACCACCAGUAAAAUUGGAACGAUUUUCCAGGUGUCACUAUCGACUGUGUUCCUAACAGAUGCCUCCAACAUGGCAGUGUUCCCCACAGGCAAUGAGUAUUUUAGCACAGUAGAUUUGGUGUCCCGAGCAUAAUAUGAGGUGCAUGGGGCAGCCUCUGAAGCCCUGCAACUAUCAUCCCAUCCUCAACCCCAACAACGCUUCGCAUUUGCUCGUCAAGCUGCCAGUGCCACCACUUUAUCCACCACUUCUUCCACAACAGCAGGCCUACCCCCAAGGGCCACACAGUCAAAAUCAUAUCAGAGAAGCGGGCAAAGCUUUCUGCCCUUGAGGAGAUUUUUGCAGAGGAAGACAUGGCAAUAGAAGAGCCAAGAGCAUGACCAGCUCCUUAGAGAAGAUUCAGAAGGAGAUACAGCUCUACAGAGGUUUGCCGUGUACACUCUCCAAUGUGAAUCCAGUGACUUGGUGGUGGAGUAUGAAGGACACACUGCCAAUGCUAUCCACCUUUGCAGCCAGGUACCUCUGUGUGCAAGCCUCAUCGACGCCCUCAGAACGUACAUUUUCCACUGCUGGGGACACCAUUAGCCAGGAGCGGGCCUGUCUGUUGCCAGAAAAAGCCAACGUGUUGAUCUUUCUGAAGAAAAACUGCUGAGCGGUUAAUCACACAUGCAGUUUGAUUUUGCACUAAAAAGUUUUUUGCACUAAGAAGUUUAUUCGUUUGCAUUUUAGUUUGUUCAAUAUUAGCCUGUUCACAAUGUCAUUUGUUUAUUUAUUUAUUAUUUAUAAUAUGUUCUUGGUAUGGAAAAAAAAUGUUCUAUUAAAAUGUUAUCCUGAGUGAUAAGCAUUACCAGAAGUCGUCUUAAUUAAGCUGAAAAAUAAAAGUUUUGUGUUUAAUGUAUUUUUGUUUAUGUUUAAA